rnacentral:rRNA from 1 species
GACGAACGCUGGCGGCGUGCUUAACACAUGCAAGUCGAGCGGUAAGGCCUUUCGGGGUACACGAGCGGCGAACGGGUGAGUAACACGUGGGUGACCUGCCCUUCACUUCGGGAUAAGCCUGGGAAACUGGGUCUAAUACCGGAUAUGACCUUCUGGUGCAUGCUGGUUGGUGGAAAGUCGGUGUCGUAAGGUGCCGGCGGUGGGGGAUGGGCCCGCGGUCUAUCAGCUUGUUGGUGGGGUGANGGCCUACCAAGGCGACGACGGAUAGCCGGCCUGAGAGGGUGAUCGGCCACACUGGGACUGAGACACGGCCCAGACUCCUACGGGAGGCAGCAGUGGGGAAUCUUGCGCAAUGGGCGGAAGCCUGACGCAGCAACGCCGCGUGGGGAUGACGGCCUCGG